GUGCAUUCAACCGGCAGCAAAGAUUUCUACAUCCAGCAUCUUCACUAGUGAUUCAUAGUGCAGUCCUAGCAACUUACUCUUUCCUGAAUGUUGUUUGCAAAACAAGGUUAUCAACCAUUCGGAUAUCUUCAGAAAGAUGCAGCAUGGGAACCAACACUGGGGUCCUCCAUGGGUGAUGGAAACUUCUCUCCAGUUUAUAAAGCAAUCUAAUCUGCAUCAACCAUUUGUUUCUAAUGACAUGCAAUCUAUUCGUUUGUAAGCAGGACUCCUGAGCAUUAUUAAGGAUUUUCAUCAUUUUGGACAAGAACCCAGAACUCUCAAAUGGUGGAUGUGAAAAGAGCUGUAACACAUGCUCUUGCUCGCCCAGCUACAAGAGUGAAAAAAAUUGCUGGGCACCAUAUACCCCAUUCGCCAAGCCAUGGAUGGAGAGACCGAAUGAGCUGUGACACGACCCCAUUCACCAAAGCUGCAGGUGGAGGAGACGAAUGAGAGCUGUAACACUUCCUGGGGGCUCAGGCAGAAGCUGUAGUACCCCUUGGGGCUAGGUGGCUGCUGGCAUAUUCAAGUUUUCAGGCACUGCCACUGCAUCCCCCUCAUCCAGACACCAGUGCCCAGUGGAGAAGCUGGUUGAGGCAUGCCCACACCAGCCACAGGCUGAGCACAGAGCUGUGAUGGUCGCAGGGUCUGGGGCAGUACUGUGAGCCAAGUGAAGCCUGCAUGGGGUUGAGUGGGCACAGCAAGCCCAGUGGCCCAAGUGAAGACUGAGAAGAAGCACCUCCAGCCAUGGAGAUUUCCAGCUGGCAAAGUGGCACCAAGAGAAUACUGUGCCACCAUAUGAACUAAAUUUAAUCCAACAUGAAUUGUAUUUGUAAAAAGUUGUAUCAGUUUCUAUCACAACUUACAAUGCAUAAGAUAUCUGCAUGUUCAACAUCAAUGUUGCCACUUUAAAUUAUAAAGUGUUUUCAUUUUUAUACUCCUGAUUAGGUUUGAGGUAAUUUUUCUUGAUCAAUUCUGUAUUUCAUCACUUCUUUUUAUGACAUUUUGUCUUCUAUAACCUUUUUUUUAAAUCAUAGCAUGCAUAAAAGAAAAUGCACAAAUUAUAUGAGAACAGCUUGAUGAGAUUUAGCAAAUAUAAAUGUAACCAACACGUUUAAAAACCACAACACUAUCGGCAUUCCAAAAGUCCCCUGCAUCUUCUUUAUCCAUUCCUACCCUUUCCUACUUCCUAAAACAAGCCCAUAUGGCUUAGUUUACAUUUUCCCUCAUUUGAAAGCUAUAAAAAUAGAACACAGUAUUUUUGUGAUGUUUCUUUUAUUCCACAGGUUAAGAAAAGAAUGCAUAUAGCCUGGGAUAUGUGGUAUUCAAUUAUGUUGGGUUUGUAAAAUUACAGGGUCAUAAUUACAGGGUCAUAUAAUGUGGGUAUAUUUAAUUUUAGGAGAUACAAUCAUCUUUCCAAAAUGGUUUUACAUUUUAUACCCAUAGCAGCAUAUAUUACCCAUUACUAGAUUAAGACAGUGAUCCCCUACAAGUAGUUUGUUACGACAAUUUAAAGUUGUUAUCAAUUACCGUAAAUAUUGACUGUAUUUCAUUAAAUGUUAUCUGCAUUCAUUGAAAUAAAAUUUUCUCUUUUUUUCUAUUGAUGUGGCAAAUCACAUUGCCCUUUCCCCAAAUUAUUCAUUGAGAAAAUAAUCAAUCCAGAAAACUAGUACAAUAAACAACUAUGUAACUUCUACUCAUUUUCACCAAAGAUGAAGACUUUGCCACAUUUGUUCUGUCUCUAUCUCUCUGUCUCUGUUUCUCUCUGUGUGUCUGCUAAUACAUUUUCUUUGCUGAAACUUACAUUGAGCAUUUCCAUCCCUCCACAUUUUAAUGACAUUGACUUUUUUGUUUGUUUUUUGUUUUUUUGAGACAGAGUCUCACUCUGUCUCCAUGCUGGAGUGCAGUGGCACGAUCUCAGCUCACUGCAACUUCCACCUCCUGGGUUCAAACAGUUCCCCUGCCUCAGCCUCCCAGGUAGCUAGGACUACAGGCGCAUGCCACCAUGCCGGGCUAAUUUUUUGCAUUUUAGUAGAGACAGGGUUUCACCGUGUUGCCCAGGCUGGUGGCCAACUCCUGAACUCAGGCAAUCCGCCUACCUUGGCCCCACAAAGUGCUGGGAUUACAGGUGUAAGCCACUGAGUAGAGUCCAGUUUUCAUGAACAGACAUUUUUUAAGUAAAAAGCAGUAUUCCAUACUUGAAAUAAACACACAUUAGUUGUGAUGAAUUAUCCUGUAUAGGCCAAGUACUCCUCCCUUAUCCACAGGGAAUACAGAUCCAGGUCCCCAGUGGAUGCCCGAAACUGUGGAUAGUACCAAACCCUAUAGAUGAUAUUGAAUUUUGAUCUGAUAACUGAGACAGCUCCUAAGUGACUAAGAGGCAGGCAGUGCAUACGACAUGAAAACACUGGACAAAAGGAUCAUUUCCAUCCAAGCAGAAGGAGGGGGACAGCAGAAGUUUUUAUCACACUACUCAGAAUGGUGCAUGGUUUAAAAUUUAAGACUAUUAAUUUCUGGAAGUUUUGUUUAAUAUUUUCAGACCACAAUUGACCACAGGUGACUAAAAACCAUGAAAAGCAAAACUGUUGAAUAAUGAGGAGGGACUACUUUAUUCCAGAAAUCAGCUACCAAUAAUAAUUUAAAAUUAUUUUGUCUAUGUUCAAAAAAGUGAUGACCUGCAAUUUUUCUUUCAUGUAACAUUUUUAUCAAGUUUUGAUGUGAGAAUUAUGCAGACACCACCAAAGGAGCUGUGAAAUGUCUCUUUUUUCUCUGGAAGAAGGUUAAAUAUAUGUAAUCUAUUCUUAAAAUAUUUGAAGUAAACCAAUGAUAAAGUUAUCUGGGCCUGGGAGUUUCUCGAUGAAUUCUUAAAAUUAUACAUUCAAUUUCUAAUAAAUAUAUGUAGGAUUAUUCAUAAUUUAUAUGCUUUAUCAUUUUCUUUUUUCCCCUUAGGAAUUUGUCCAUUUCAACUGAGU
rnacentral:lncRNA from 1 species